UACGAAGGGGGCUAGCGUUGCUCGGAAUCACUGGGCGUAAAGCGCACGUAGGCGGCUUGCUAAGUCAGGGGUGAAAUCCUGGAGCUCAACUCCAGAACUGCCUUUGAUACUGGCGAUCUCGAGUCCGGGAGAGGUGAGUGGAACUGCGAGUGUAGAGGUGAAAUUCGUAGAUAUUCGCAAGAACACCAGUGGCGAAGGCGGCGCACUGGCCCGGUACUGACGCUGAGGUGCGAAAGCGUGGGGAGCAAACAGG
rnacentral:rRNA from 1 species